rnacentral:rRNA from 1 species
UACGUAGGGGGCAAGCGUUGUCCGGAAUCAUUGGGCGUAAAGCGCGUGUAGGCGGUUCGGUAAGUCUGCUGUGAAAGUCCAGGGCUCAACCCUGGGAUGCCGGUGGAUACUGUCGGACUAGAGUACGGAAGAGGCGAGUGGAAUUCCCGGUGUAGCGGUGAAAUGCGCAGAUAUCGGGAGGAACACCAUUGCGAAGGCAGCUCGCUGGGACGUUACUGACGCUGAGACGCGAAAGCGUGGGGAGCAAACAGG